AGGGCUAUAGCUCAGCUAGGUAGAGCACCUCGUUUACACAUACCGAGAAGGUCUACGGUUCGAGUCCGUAUAGCCCUA
rnacentral:tRNA from 1 species